rnacentral:rRNA from 1 species
UUUCCGGUUGAUCCCGCCGGACCUGACUGCUAUCGGAUUGAUACUAAGCCAUGCGAGUCAUUGUAGUAAUACAAGGCAGACGGCUCAGUAACGCGUAGUCAACCUACCCUAUGGACGGGGAUAACCUCGGGAAACUGAGAAUAAUACCCGAUAGAACAUUAUUCCUGGAAUGGUUUAUGUUUCAAAUAAUUUAUUGCCGUAGGAUGGGACUGCGGCCUAUCAGUUUGUUGGUGAGGUAAUGGCCCACCAAGACUAUUACAGGUACGGGCUCUGAGAGGAGUAGCCCGGAGAUGGGUACUGAGACACGGACCCAGGCCCUAUGGGGCGCAGCAGGCGAGAAAACUUUGCAAUGUGCGAAAGCACGACAAGGUUAAUCCGAGUGGUUUCUGCUAAAGGAACCUUUUGUCAGUCCUAGAAACACUGGUGAAUAAGGGGUGGGCAAGUUCUGGUGUCAGCCGCCGCGGUAAAACCAGCACCUCAAGUGGUCAGGAUGAUUAUUGGGCCUAAAGCAUCCGUAGCCUGCUUUGUUAGUUUUCGGUUAAAUCCAUAUGCUCAACGUAUGGGCUGCCGGAAAUACUGCAAAGCUAGGGAGUGGGAGAGGUAGACGGUACUCGGUAGGAAGGGGUAAAAUCCUUUGAUCUAUUGAUGACCACCUGUGGCGAAGGCGGUCUACCAGAACACGUCCGACGGUGAGGGAUGAAAGCUGGGGGAGCAAACCGGAUUAGAUACCCGGGUAGUCCCAGCUGUAAACUAUGCAAACUCGGUGAUGCAUUGGCUUGAUGCCAAUGCAGUGCCGCAGGGAAGCCGUUAAGUUUGCCGCCUGGGAAGUACGUACGCAAGUAUGAAACUUAAAGGAAUUGGCGGGGGAGCACCACAAGGGGUGAAGCCUGCGGUUCAAUUGGAUUCAACGCCGGA